CACACACCUUCUACCAGGGGAUGGGUCCUGUACCCUGUCCUGUUACACCAGUCCCUGUGGUGGAGAGUCUGCAGGUACACACACACACCUUCUACCAGGGGGUGGGUCCUGUACCCUGUCCUGUUACACCAGUCCCUGUGGUGGAGAGUCUACAGGUACACACACCAAAACACACAUUAACAUAUACCUAAACACACACCUUAAUACACACAAACCAGUAUAUUCUCUACUGAGAGACACACCCACACUAACCCCUCUGUUGUCUCUAGUUGAAUGGUGGAGGGGACAGGACCCACACUAACCCCUCUGUUGUCUCUAGUUGAAUGGUGGAGGGGACAGGACCCACACUAACCCCUCUGUUGUCUCUAGUUGAAUGGUGGAGGGGACAGGACCCACACUAACCCCUCUGUUGUCUCUAGUUGAAUGGUGGAGGGGACAGGACCCACACUAACCCCUCUGUUGUCUCUAGUUGAAUGGUGGAGGGGACAGGACCCACACUAACCCCUCUGUUGUCUCUCUAGUUGAAUGGUGGAGGGGACAGGACCCACACUAACCCCUCUGUUGUCUCUCUAGUUGAAUGGUGGAGGGGACAGGACCCACACUAACCCCUCUGUUGUCUCUCUAGUUGAAUGGUGGAGGGGACAGGACCCACACUAACCCCUCUGUUGUCUCUAGUUGAAUGGUGGAGGUGACAGGACCCACACUAACCCCUCUGUUGUCUCUAGUUGAAUGGUGGAGGUGACAGGACCCACACUAACCCCUCUGUUGUCUCUCUAGUUGAAUGGUGGAGGUGACAGGACCCACACUAACCCCUCUGUUGUCUCUCUAGUUGAAUGGUGGAGGUGACAGGACCCACACUAACCCCUCUGUUGUCUCUAGUUGAAUGGUGGAGGUGACAGGACCCACACUAACCCCUCUGUUGUCUCUCUAGUUGAAUGGUGGAGGGGACAGGACCCACACUAACCCCUCUGUUGUCUCUAGUUGAAUGGUGGAGGGGACAGGACCCACACUAACCCCUCUGUUGU